AGUGAACGCUGGCGGUAGGCCUAACACAUGCAAGUCGAACGGCAGCACAGUAAGAGCUUGCUCUUACGGGCGGCGAGUGGCGGACGGGUGAGGAAUACAUUGGACUCGCCUUUUUCGGGGGGGCUAACGUAGGGAAACAUACGCUAAUACCGCAACCGACCUACGUGUGAAAGCAGGGGAUCUUCGAACCUGGCGCGACUGAAUGAGCAGAAGUCGGAUUGGGUAGUUGGCGGGGUAAAGGCCCACCAAGGCUACGAUCCGUAGCUGGUCUGAGAGGAUGAUCGGCCACACUGGAACUGAGAAACGGUCCAGACUCCUACGGGAGGCGGCAGUGGGGAAUAUUCGACAAUGGGCGAAAGCCUGAGCCAGCCAGCCCGCGGAGGUGAGGAAGGCCUUCGGGUGGUAAAGCCCGUUUGUUGGGAAAGAAGGGCAGCAGGCUAAUACUCAGAUGUACUGACGGUACCCAAAGAGUAAGCACCGGCUAACUUCGUG
rnacentral:rRNA from 1 species